AUGCACUUGAAAUUGAAGGACAAUGGGAAGUGGGAGAAGCCAAGAGCACCUUUUGUCAUCGAUAAGAAGGAUGUGAUAACCAUUCUGAAAUGGUUCCAAGAGCUGAAGUUCCCCGAUGGGUAUGCAUCAAGCUUUAGACGGGGAUUUAGCCUACUACACAGAAAGAUUUUUGGCUUCAAAAGUCAUGAUUACCAUAUCUUCAUGGAACGCCUACUUCCUGUUGCAUUUCGUGGCUUCCUUCCAGAGGACAUAUGGAAGUGUCUAGCAGAGCUAAGUUAUUUCUAUAGGCAGCUAUGUGCAAAAGAACUUAGCAAGGAUACCAUACGUUCACUUGAGGAGAAUGUUGUUGUUCUUGUAUGCAAAUUGGAGAAGAUAUUCCCUCCUGGUUUCUUCAAUCCCAUGCAACAUUUAAUCAUACAUCUUCCAUACCAAGCUCGGCUAGGAGGUCCUGUAUUAGCUCGAUGGAUGUACAUCUAUGAAAGGAUGAUUACUGUGAUUUGGCUAGAGCCACACAUCCUGAUGAUUGGGAGGAGCGAGAGUUAG
rnacentral:rRNA from 1 species